UACGUAGGGAUCGAGCGUUGUCCGGAAUCAUUGGGCGUAAAGAGCGUGUAGGCGGCCACUUAAGUCCUGCGUGAAAUCUUGCGGCUCAACCGCAAGCGGUCGUGGGAAACUGGGUGGCUAGAGUGCGGGAGAGGAGAGUGGAAUUCCUGGUGUAGCGGUGGAAUGCGCAGAUAUCAGGAGGAACACCCGUGGCGAAGGCGGCUCUCUGGAACGCAACUGACGCUGAGACGCGAAAGCGUGGGGAGCAAACAGG
rnacentral:rRNA from 1 species